AUUGAACGCUGGCGGCAUGCCUUACACAUGCAAGUCGAACGGCAGCACGGGUGCUUGCACCUGGUGGCGAGUGGCGAACGGGUGAGUAAUACAUCGGAACAUGUCCUGUAGUGGGGGAUAGCCCGGCGAAAGCCGGAUUAAUACCGCAUACGAUCCACGGAUGAAAGCGGGGGCCCUUCGGGCCUCGCGCUAUAGGGUUGGCCGAUGGCUGAUUAGCUAGUUGGUGGGGUAAAGGCCUACCAAGGCGACGAUCAGUAGCUGGUCUGAGAGGACGACCAGCCACACUGGGACUGAGACACGGCCCAGACUCCUACGGGAGGCAGCAGUGGGGAAUUUUGGACAAUGGGCGAAAGCCUGAUCCAGCAAUGCCGCGUGUGUGAAGAAGGCCUUCGGGUUGUAAAGCACUUUUGUCCGGAAAGAAAUCCUUGACUCUAAUACAGUCGGGGGAUGACGGUACCGGAAGAAUAAGCACCGGCUAACUACGUG
rnacentral:rRNA from 1 species